GGAAGCUUCACCAACAACGGACCGCUGUUCCUGAGUGACAGCGAGUCAGAAGAUGAAGACGAUUUCACAGCUUUAGAGGAAUAUAAAAAAAAUAGAGCCGAAAAUGAGCAUACAACACAUCCGCCUGAAGGAAUUUCACCUAACACGUUCACUGAGAAAAACUACAUCGACAUGAUGAAUGCACUUAAUCAGAAAGUUCGAAAGAGUAUGCAGAAUUUAUAGGCCGGCAACUUGGUAAUCUCGAAGGCUGGUUGGGAAAUAUGUAGAAAAAGACGGUUCUCAUGCAUUUAACACUUAUUUACUGAGACCGAGGGAAAC